AGUUCGUUUCUCUGUAAACAUUAACAGCAUUGACCGAUAAACAUCUUGGGAUCUUGGUUAAUUGGCACUGUUUUUUGCUAGCUAGUAGAUAAGCAGAUGAGCUCAUGGCAGUCACUGGAAUCCGCAAACACCAUAAUGCCCAAUUUGAUACUUAGGUCGUAAACAAAAGUGAACUGUGGUUAUGACUAUCCAAAUAUUUGACUUUGGCUAAUCCGAACGAACUUUCGAAGCGACCAGUAGUAUUCAAGAUAUUAUUUUUGAAGUUUGGACUUGGGCAUCGUUCAACACAUCGAAUACCAAAUAUCGUUCACAACGGCACCAGUCUCGAGAAGUAAUCAAAAGCGGAUCCGAAGUGAUCAAGAAGACCUCACAAAUUAUUAUGAGAUCUCACCUACAAAUCCUAGGCCCAGUGUACAUCUGUUAUACAUGAAGGUAUGGGCACCGACCAUGCCCCAGCCGCGUCCUUCGUACACUCUGCCGUCAUUUCCAAUCAUGAAAUUGUAGCUGAAAGUAAUUAAUUACAUAGUUCUUUAAUCAAUGAAUAAUCUUGUUACUAUGAAGUA